AUUGGUGCUCUAACAACUGCACUGACCUUUCCAUAGUAAUUAGUAAGUGCUAUUUGUUGGGGUAGUUUGA
rnacentral:pre_miRNA from 1 species